GACUAGUGACAGAGUGAGAGAGGGGGUGACUAGUGACAGAGUGAGGGAGGGAGUGACUAGUGACAGAGAGAGGGAUGGGGUGACUAGUGACAGUCACCCCCUCUCUCACUCUGUCACUAGUCACACCCUCGCUCACUCUGUCAUUAGUCAC